CACCGCGGUUACACGGGCAGCUCAAGUUGACAAAGAACGGCGUAAAGAGUGGUUAGGGACUACAGAAACUAAAGACGAAAGACUCCAAGACCGUUGCACGCUGCCUCGGAGCCCUGAAAAUCACCUACGAAAGUGACUUUACAACACCCGACCCCACGAAAGCUGAGGUA
rnacentral:rRNA from 1 species